AGCCCAACUCGUGACCUGAGCCGAAAUGAAGAGUCAGGCCGACUGAGCCACCUGGGCGCCCCGAGAAUUCCUUUUUCUAUGGGCACUUCAUGCACACAGGGACCCUGACUGACUCAACAUUUCCCUUUUCCUCCUGGAAUCCUUCUCUGACCAACCCAUGGACUUAUUCAUUCAAAAACCAUUUUUCAGGACCUACUAUGCGCUGGGCACUGGAUGAGACGAUGAGUAUGUGUUGGGGAACAAGACAGAUGUGUCACCCUCAGAGCCUGCAGUCUAGGUGGGGACGGAUAAGUGAACAAGUGAUCUCAGUUCAUUGUCAUGAAGCCUUGGGGAGCAUCUCGGAGAGACACCUAUCCUGGACUUGGGAGUCUGGAAAGUUUCCGGCUUGGGAGCAACAUCUGAGCUGAGACUUACUCUAGCCUAAGGCACGGAACUCUCUGGCCCAAGGGAAAAAUGGCACCCCUGGAUUGCGGACAACCCCCUGAACGAGGCAUAUCCUCAGUCCCAGCAGGGCCUAAAGCCUGCUCUGUGACUUCCAGAAACCGCUCUGUGAUGGACUUCCGGGGGCCUUAUCUUCUCCAUCUGUCAAGACCCAUAACCCCUUCUAAUUGCUAGGGUACUUGCAACUUGAAGUCCCAGAUGAGGAAAUGUUUUUACAAGACGUAACUCUGAGAUUCUAACACACAAGGAAGCUGCUUGGUUCCUGCCUCCUGUUUCUCCCCAGCUAUUCCUCCAGUUCUCUGUAUCACAAAAGCCCUGGAACUGAGUGGGCCUAGACAAGAUUUCCAACAACAGGUGAGGGAUAAAAUUAUCUUGGGGUGGGGGCAGGGAGAGGGGAGGCAGAGGGAGGCUGAGAACAGUCAAUGAUGGAUAAGUUUUGAUCCUCUAACAGGCACCUGCCCUCAAGGAGCUUAUGAGGUGGAGACAGUUAAAACGCAAUAAACGUUGCUAAAUAAUUAAAAGAUGUGGACCUGAUGUGAUCAGCGCGGCAUCCUCGGGGAGACCUGUGGAGAAAGAGGAGAUUGACCUCAGGUCCAGGGGAGGGCAAGGGCUUAGUAAGGGGCACAGAAAGAAGAAAAGCAAUGGAAUCACAGAUCUGGGUGGGAAGGGGCCUCAACAAAGAACAACUACCUAGUUCAGGUUCUUUCUGAUGCUCAGCUAACAGCCCUGGCAAGCAGGGGAUCAAUCACCGUCUUCUUGAACACCUCCAGCCGUGGGAAACUUACUGUCUCCCAAGGAAGCCAGUUCCAUUUAUGAACA